AACGAACGCUGGCGGCAUGCCUAACACAUGCAAGUCGAACGAGACCUUCGGGUCUAUUCGCCCACGGGUUCGUAACGCGUGGGAACCUUCCUUUAUGUUCGGAAUAACUCAGAGAAAUUUAAGCUAUUACCGGAUGAUGUCUUCUGACCAAAGAUUUAUCGCCUUUAGAUGGUCCCGCGUUGGAUUAGCUAGUUGGUUGGGUAAAGGCCUACCAAGGCGACGAUCCAUAGCUGGUCUGAGAGGAUGAUCAGCCACACUGGGACUGAGACACGGCCCAGACUCCUACGGGAAGCAGCAGUGGGGAAUAUUGGACAAUGGGCGAAAGCAUGAUCCAGCAAUGCCGCGUGAGUGAUGAAGGCCUUAGGGUUGUAAAGCUCUUUUACCCGAGAUGAUAAUGACAGUACCGGGACAAUAAGCUACGGCUAACUCCGUG
rnacentral:rRNA from 1 species